rnacentral:rRNA from 1 species
UCCUCCUACGGGGCGCAGCAGUGAGGAAUAUUGGUCAAUGGGCGGGAGCCUGAACCAGCCAAGUCGCGUGAAGGAAGAAGGUACUUAGUAUUGUAAACUUCUUUUGUCGGGGAACAAAGGCGGAGACGCGUCUCCGGAUGAGUGUACCCGAAGAAAAAACAUCGGCUAACUCCGUGCCAGCAGCCGCGGUAAUACGGAGGAUGCGAGCGUUAUCCGGAUUUAUUGGGUUUAAAGGGUGCGUAGGCGGGACGGUAAGUCUGAUGUGAAAGCCUUCGGCUCAACCGGAGAAUUGCAUCAGAAACUGU